rnacentral:tRNA from 1 species
GGCUCAGUGGUGUAGUGGUGUGACACACAGUGCCCCGGAUAUAGCUGAGACACGAGUUCGAAUCCCGCCUGAGCCG